rfam:Perkinsus marinus ATCC 50983 gcontig_1104296609984, whole genome shotgun sequence.
CUAAGUUCGCACGGGUGCUGAGACCAACCUCAUUCGAGGAUCUCGGCUGAGAUAUCACCGUCGGAACCUGAUCAGGGUAAUACCUGCGAAGGGAGCGAACUAAAGAUGCUA